UACGAAGGGUGCUAGCGUUGUUCGGAAUCACUGGGCGUAAAGCGCGCGUAGGCGGCUUUUCAAGUCAGGGGUGAAAUGCCAAGGCUCAACCUCGGAACUGCCUUUGAAACUGUUAAGCUGGAGUGUCGGAGGGGAUAGCGGAAUUCCUAAUGUAGUGGUGAAAUACGUAGAUAUUAGGAGGAACACCGGUGGCGAAGGCGGCUAUCUGGACGACAACUGACGCUGAGGCGCGAAAGCGUGGGGAUCAAACAGG
rnacentral:rRNA from 1 species